CGCACAGUUAUACCGUAGCUUGCUACACCAUAGAUUAUGAGUUGCGAACGGGUGAGUAACGCGUAGGUAACCUGCUAUUAGAGGGGGGAUAACUAUUGGAAACGAUAGCUAAUACCGCAUAACAGUAUGUAACACAUGUUAGAUGCUUGAAAGAUGCAAUUGCAUCGCUAGUAGAUGGACCUGCGUUGUAUUAGCUAGUAGGUAGGGUAAUGGCCUACCUAGGCGACGAUACAUAGCCGACCUGAGAGGGUGAUCGGCCACACUGGGACUGAGACACGGCCCAGACUCCUACGGGAGGCAGCAGUAGGGAAUCUUCGGCAAUGGGGGGAACCCUGACCGAGCAACGCCGCGUGAGUGAAGAAGGUUUUCGGAUCGUAAAGCUCUGUUGUUAAGGAAGAACGAGUGUGAGAAUGGAAAGUUCAUACUGUGACGGUACUUAACCAGAAAGGGACGGCUAACUACGUGCCAGCAGCCGCGGUAAUACGUAGGUCCCGAGCGUUGUCCGGAUUUAUUGGGCGUAAAGCGAGCGCAGGCGGUUAGAAAAGUCUGAAGUGAAAGGCAGUGGCUCAACCAUUGUAGGCUUUGGAAACUGUUUAACUUGAGUGCAGAAGGGGAGAGUGGAAUUCCAUGUGUAGCGGUGAAAUGCGUAGAUAUAUGGAGGAACACCGGUGGCGAAAGCGGCUCUCUGGUCUGUAACUGACGCUGAGGCUCGAAAGCGUGGGGAGCGAACAGG
rnacentral:rRNA from 1 species